UCACCAGGGCACCCUCAGGUGCCCGUGCCUGGCCUCAGGAGCAGGCACAGCGCUGCCUGCCUCCUGCAGCUGCCUCAGGAGGCUUCCCUGGUAAUUCCAGAACAGCUUUGGGUUUUCCUAGGGGACUGGAGCAGUGUGUCCACAGCAUUCCCCAGAUACCAGGCUUUUUGCAUGCUCUGAGUAUUUUCAAGCCACGGUAAUUGCAGGAAGAUAGCCGCCUGUGAUACAAGCCUGCCCCCCAAGCCUUGCUUUGUGAAGUAUUGUGAAACCCCACCCCAGUCCUGUGAUCAUUUCAACAAGGUGCUCAGGAAAAACCAGCUAUCACCUUUCCGGAAGCGGUGUCCCCACCGUUACGAGUUGCAGCAGGAGAUGGCACAGCCCCCCUGUCGGUCCUGCAGAACUCUCUGCCAUCAGGAGCCAACGAGAGAUUGAUGAUCGCACACCGAACCUUCGGGAGGUGACAGCAGAUUGCAAGCAGCUCCUGGCUCCCUCGUCUUUAAUAAGCAGCUGAGCACGAAGGCUGCAGUGCGAUAAGGAGAGGUUUGGCUUCACCUCCAGGUGCUGCAUCCCCUCGUCCUGCUCUGACCGUCACACACCGCUGUCCGGGGCCUCCUCGGAGGACGGGAGCACGAGCGACUUGCCCCAGUGAGGCCCUGCAAAUUAAUUAAGCUUUGCAGCCCCCCUGU
rnacentral:lncRNA from 1 species